GACGAACGCUGGCGGCGUGCUUAACACAUGCAAGUCGAACGGAAAGGCCUCUUUCGGGGGGUACUCGAGUGGCGAACGGGUGAGUAACACGUGAGUAACCUGCCCUUGACUUUGGGAUAACUUCAGGAAACUGGGGCUAAUACCGGAUAGGAGCUCCUGCUGCAUGGUGGGGGUUGGAAAGUUUCGGCGGUUGGGGAUGGACUCGCGGCUUAUCAGCUUGUUGGUGGGGUAGUGGCUUACCAAGGCCUUGACGGGUAGCCGGCCUGAGAGGGUGACCGGCCAAAUGGGGAUGGAAGUCAGGCCCAGACCCCUACGGGAGGCAGCAGGGGGGAAUUUUGCAAAAGGGGGGGAACCCGGAUGCAGAAACCCCGUGGGGGGGAUGACGGCCUUGGGGUUGUAAACCGCUUUCGCUCAUGACGAAGCUUUGGGUGACGGUAGGGGGGAAAGAAGCACCGGCUAACUACGU
rnacentral:rRNA from 1 species